UAGGGAAUCUUCGGCAAUGGGGGCAACCCUGACCGAGCAACGCCGCGUGAGUGAAGAAGGUUUUCGGAUCGUAAAGCUCUGUUGUAAGAGAAGAACGUGUGUGAGAGUGGAAAGUUCACACAGUGACGGUAACUUACCAGAAAGGGACGGCUAACUACGUGCCUG
rnacentral:rRNA from 1 species